AGCGAACGCUGGCGGCAGGCUUAACACAUGCAAGUCGAACGGGCAUAGCAAUAUGUCAGUGGCAGACGGGUGAGUAACGCGUGGGAACGUACCUUUUGGUUCGGAACAACACAGGGAAACUUGUGCUAAUACCGGAUAAGCCCUUACGGGGAAAGAUUUAUCGCCGAAAGAUCGGCCCGCGUCUGAUUAGCUAGUUGGUAGGGUAAUGGCCUAUCAAGGCGACGAUCAGUAGCUGGUCUGAGAGGAUGAUCAGACACAUUGGGACUGAGACACGGCCCAAACUCCUACGGGAGGCAGCAGUGGGGAAUAUUGGACAAUGGGCGAAAGCCUGAUCCAGCCAGGCCGCGUGAGUGAUGAAGGCCCUAGAGUUGUAAAGCUCUUUUGUGCGGGAAGAUAAUGACGGUACCGCAAGAAUAAGCCCCGGCUAACUUCGUG
rnacentral:rRNA from 1 species